UCGGGGAUCGUCUAACGGCAGGACGCCAGUUUCUGGUUCUGGCUAUCGAGGUUCGAAUCCUUGUCCCCGAG
rnacentral:tRNA from 1 species